UAGGACUUGGUGUAGUGGUGGCACGAAGAUUUUUGGGUUCUUAAGGUUAGGUUCGAUUCCUGUAGUUCUAG
rnacentral:tRNA from 1 species